rnacentral:rRNA from 1 species
CCUACGGGUGGCAGCAGUGAGGAAUAUUGGUCAAUGGGCGCGAGCCUGAACCAGCCAAGUAGCGUGAAGGAUGACUGCCCUACGGGUUGUAAACUUCUUUUAUAAAGGAAUAAAGUGAGGCACGUGUGCCUUUUUGUAUGUACUUUAUGAAUAAGGAUCGGCUAACUCCGUGCCAGCCGCCGCGGUAAUACGGAGGAUCCGAGCGUUAUACGGAUUUUAUGGGGUUAAAGGGGGCGUAGAUGGGUUGUUAAGUCAGUUGUGAAAGUUUGCGGCUCAACCGUAAAAUUGCAAUUGAUACUGGCAGUCUUGAGUACAGUUGAGGUAGGCGGAAUUCGUGGUGUAGCGGUGAAAUGCUUAGAUAUCACGAAGAACUCCGAUUGCGAAGGCAGCUUACUAAACCGCAACUGACAUUGAUGCUCGAAAGUGUGGGUAUCAAACAGGAUUAGAUACCCCAGUAGUC